GAUGAACGCUGGCGGCGUGCCUAAUACAUGCAAGUCGAGCGAACGGACGAGAAGCUUGCUUCUCUGAUGUUAGCGGCGGACGGGUGAGUAACACGUGGAUAACCUACCUAUAAGACUGGGAUAACUUCGGGAAACCGGAGCUAAUACCGGAUGAUAUUUUGAACCGCAUGGUUCAAAAGUGAAAGACGGUCUUGCUGUCACUUAUAGAUGGAUCCGCGCUGCAUUAGCUAGUUGGUAAGGUAACGGCUUACCAAGGCAACGAUGCAUAGCCGACCUGAGAGGGUGAUCGGCCACACUGGACCUGAGACACGGUCCAGACUCCUACGGGAGGCAGCAGUAGGGAAUCUUCCGCAAUGGGCGAAAGCCUGACGGAGCAACGCCGCGUGAGUGAUGAAGGUCUUCGGAUCGUAAAACUCUGUUAUUAGGGAAGAACAUAUGUGUAAGUAACUGUGCACAUCUUGACGGUACCUAAUCAGAAAGCCACGGCUAACUACGUG
rnacentral:rRNA from 1 species